UACGUAGGUGGCAAGCGUUGUCCGGAAUGACUGGGCGUAAAGGGAGCGUAGGCGGCGCAGUAAGUUAGGAGUGAAAUCCCGGGGCUCAACCCCGGCCUGCCGUCGGAACUGGGUGCCUUGAGUGGGCGAGAAGUAUGCGGAAUGCGUGGUGUAGCGGUGAAAUGCAUAGAUAUCACGCAGAACCCCGAUUGCGAAGGCAGCAUACCGGCGCCCGACUGACGCUGAGGCACGAAAGUGCGGGUAUCGAACAGG
rnacentral:rRNA from 1 species